AGCUCCAAUAGCGUAUAUUAAAGUUGUUGCAGUUAAAAGCUCGUAGUUGGAUUUCUGGGAGGGUGACAAUGUCCGUCUUCAGAUGUGUGCAGCGGCGCCUUUCCAUCCUUCUGUUAACGCCUCUCCGCAUUCAUUUGCUGGUGGCGGGCUCAGAUAUUUUACCUUGAGAAAAUUAGAGUGUUUCAAGCAGGCAUUGCACGGAAUACAUUAGCAUGGAAUAAUGGAAUAGGACUACGGUCUCUUUGUUGGUUUGAGGGACAGCAGUAAUGAUUAAUAGGGAUAGUUGGGGGCAUUAGUAUUUAAUUGUCAGAGGUGGAAUUCUCAGAUUUGUUAAAGACUAACUUAUGCGAAAGCAUUUGCCAAGGAUGUUUUCA
rnacentral:rRNA from 1 species